CUCAGUCCGGAGCUUCCGGUCGCCGCGGCCGACCAGCUGAGGGCUCCCGGAGAUAUGGAGCGGGGUCAGCGAGGCCUGGUGGCGCCUCCUGGAGUCUGGGACGAGCGGCGGUCCGAGGAGCAGCCCAGGUGGGGCGAGGGUACGGAGACGCUAUUUCCCUCCGAACUCUGAAGUAGCCAGGUCAGUGUCGGCUCCGCGAGGGCUGGAGUUCACGGUGACAGCCGGCAGAGCAUCUGAUGCCACGUGGAGAGGCGAAGUACAUGGGUCGGAUUCCACGCUGGGAGCCGGCCUGGAUCUGCGCUUUAGGAAGCCACUGCGGGCGACCCUAUCUUGUCGCCAGGACUUCGCAUCUGAUGAGCCUCAGGGCACACAAGUUAGAGAGGCUUGUGCCGGCUGAUGUGGCUUUUCUUUUUCUUAGUUUCCGUUUAGUAAACGACCUUGUGACUUCUGGCUUGCUCAGGAAGACCAGAAAAAAAGGCAAUAGGUAACGAAUUUUUCUUUUUUUAAAGAAACAGAUUAUUGGCCGAGGAAAAACCAAUUUCGCUCUAAAGGAUAAGCAACAAAAUACUGAGGGGGGAAAAAGCCUACACAAAUGGAAACAUACGGCACAAAAUCAAGGAGCGACCAGUUCCGCAUGGUUACACUAAAAUGCACUGCACUCCCACUCUCUGGCUUGGCUGAAGAUAACCAGCAAGCUCUGAACAGUUUAAAAGCCUUCCAAGGACUGCAGCAGCACUGGACACACAAGAGAGUCGAGAACAGUAUUGGAUUUAUUGUUAGGGUUACAAUUUUCACGAUCUUUGCAUGCAAAACUUGCCACUCUGAGCCCAGUGAACUAUUUUUAUUUGGUUUACUUACUGGCUUUCUGGAUGACUAGGUAGAGCUUUAACUAAAGAACACUUCUGCUGUGGUCUGUGAUGAUGAAUUUUCCCGUAGUGUCAUUUCUAUAAUGGAAUAGGCAAACUGACCAUUUAGAAUGUGAUAUUCCUAAAUCACAUUCAAAUCAGUCUUAUCAGAGACUUCUAAUCAAUAAAAAUAAAGCACCAGAUGGCUAGAGGUAGUUUUUGACCUCAGCUUGGGCCUCAGCAAAGAUUUUUUGUGUUUUUUUUAACUACAUUAAAACAUCAGAGUUUAAGACACUUUUCUUUGAGCAUCAGAAAUACUCUCAGCUGAAUUUAGAGUUGAACUAUCCGGAAGAACCCUGGAGAAGGAGGGUGAUUUAUUUUCAACUUUCUGAUUUACCACCGACUUAAAUCAACCAAUGAGUUCUUUCUUUGACCAAAAAAAAAAAAAAAAAAAAAAAAAAAAAAAAAAAAAUUCAAGACUUGUGAUGUUUCUAUUUGUUUUGUUUUGUUUAGUUUGGUGUGUGCUUACUCAUUGUCCCAUUCUUUUGAUAACCUGUAUUUAUCUGCCACAAGUUAAACAAAAAUAAAUGAAAUAAGGAACACACCAAAAUCCUGCACUUAGGCCCUGUAUAGACAGUGUGUUCCAAACCUAAGGAGGUGUCUGCAACAGGGGAGGCUGCUGAGUGACUCUGCAGAGAACAGAUGACAUCUGUUAAAUGUCAAACACCAUCACGUCGUACUUCAAGUUGUACUUUACUUGGAACAUGGAAGCCAUCUGUCUGGAGCUCCCACAUCCAUUUCAAAUCUUCAGGGUUCCCCAUUCCAGGGGAGGAGCUGAACCUCCUGACACCGUCCACUUCCCUCCUGCCUCCUUCAAACAUCAUCCCUUUUUUCUCCCGAAUCCCUAAAUGUUUCUGCACCCAAGGGCUCUACCCCAAUAAACACAGCUAAGACUCUUUGAUUCUUAAAAUGUCUUCCUUUAACGUCCCACCCUCCAGAAUCUAUUGUCGUAUGUUUUGUUCACCAAAGGUAAUAAAAAUAAAUGUGGA
ensembl:lncRNA MAP7-AS1 MAP7 antisense RNA 1